UGGGGAAUAUUGCACAAUGGGCGCAAGCCUGAUGCAGCCAUGCCGCGUGUAUGAAGAAGGCCUUCGGGUUGUAAAGUACUUUCAGCGGGGAGGAAGGUGUUGAGGUUAAUAACCUCAGCAAUUGACGUUACCCGCAGAAGAAGCGCCGGCUAACUCCGUGCCAGCAGCCGCGGUAAUACGGAGGGUGCAAGCGUUAAUCGGAAUUACUGGGCGUAAAGCGCACGCAGGCGGUCUGUCAAGUCGGAUGUGAAAUCCCCGGGCUCAACCUGGGAACUGCAUUCGAAACUGGCAGGCUAGAGUCUUGUAGAGGGGGGUAGAAUUCCAGGUGUAGCGGUGAAAUGCGUAGAGAUCUGGAGGAAUACCGGUGGCGAAGGCGGCCCCCUGGACAAAGACUGACGCUCAGGUGCGAAAGCGUGGGGAGCAAACA
rnacentral:rRNA from 1 species